CAGUUGUUUCAGUUGACGUACAAUCGAAACAAGUCAACAGUCGAGAGUUAUAAAUGGCUAACCAAUGAUCUUUGACCUAGUAAUAAUUCGUGUUUUAACGCAACACAGUGGAGGAAUUUUGAAAGAGAAUAAUAAAGAAAAGACUAUUAUAGGCAAAAAUAAAAAUAAAAGUUGGAAGAGGAUGUUCUAAUUACGUUACUGAUAGAAGAAGAGGAAAAAAUAAGAUUUUAUUAACCAGAUACUUGAAUAAUAUUGUUCCGAAGGUGAAAACAAUGUGCAAUGCAUUUUGAAAUUUUACAACGAAGUCACGUUGAUUUGGAUGAACACUUUUCAACCUCGGCAGAGAGAAUUGAGUAUCACGCGCUACUAAACGAGACUGAAGUAUCGAGCGUAUCGAUGAAACAUCAAAUUUAGUGACAGGAGUUUUUGGAACAAUUUUUGACGAAGUAUUAUUAGAGAAUUAGCCACAAGGAAAUUGUAUACCAAUACAAAUAAGUUAGCGUACUAUUGCCCAAUGUGUUCCAACGGAAAACUGUUAGCUGUUAAACGUUGACUCGAAUAAUCUAUCUUGUAGAAUUCACAAAAUACUGACAGAUUUUUCUUAAGAAAAAAAAAAAGAAAAAGAGAAAGA